rnacentral:rRNA from 1 species
CGUCGAGCGGCGGACGGGUGAGUAACGCGUAGGAAUCUACCCAGUAGUGGGGGACAACUCGGGGAAACUCGAGCUAAUACCGCAUACGCCCCAAGGGGGAAAGCGGGGGAUCUUCGGACCUCGCGCUAUUGGAUGAGCCUGCGUUGGAUUAGCUAGUUGGUGGGGUAAAGGCCCACCAAGGCGACGAUCCAU